UGCCAGACUCCUACGGGAGGCAGCAGUGGGGGAUAUUGCACAAUGGGGGAAACCCUGAUGCAGCGACGCCGCGUGGGUGAAGAAGCGCCUCGGCGCGUAAAGCCCUGUCAGCAGGGAAGAAAAUGACGGUACCUGAAGAAGAAGCCCCGGCUAACUACGUGCCAGCAGCCGCGGUAAUACGUAGGGGGCAAGCGUUAUCCGGAUUCACUGGGUGUAAAGGGAGCGUAGACGGCCAUGCAAGCCUGGAGUGAAAGCCCGGGGCCCAACCCCGGGACUGCUCUGGGAACUGUGCGGCUGGAGUGCGGGAGGGGCAGGCGGAAUUCCUGGUGUAGCGGUGAAAUGCGUAGAUAUCAGGAGGAACACCGGCGGCGAAGGCGGCCUGCUGGACCGCGACUGACGUUGAGGCUCGAAAGCGUGGGGAGCAAACAGGAUUAGAUACCCGCGUA
rnacentral:rRNA from 1 species